AAAGUAACAGUUUAGUGGCAAAUGUAUAUCUGAUGACAGCUUUAGCAACAAAGCAGAAGAAAAACACUUAAAAAAAAGAAAACAUUCAAACUAGGGCUAGAAGUGACCGAUAUUCGGCAUAGGAGAAGCCCCUGUGCUUAACCAACCAGCUUUCUGCCAAGCUGCUAAAUACAACAAAAAAACAAAUGAUAAAACACAAUUCCCCAAUACUCAAGAAACAAAGAAUCAAAAAUGUUUGACCUAACCCCAACCGAAACGCCAUCAGGAAGAGAUGCAUCGGCUGUAAUUUGGUGUCUCCACCACUACCUGUAUU